CCUUUGAUCCUUUCAGUUCCCUUAACAGUCUGCUAACAGGUCAGCUGCUGAAGUCUUUCUCGGGUUUUCACUCAGUUCUCCCUUGGGCGACUUUCCCAUCAAAGCUGAUGCCAUUUUGCCUGAGUAAGAGAAACAGUGAAAAGGAGACAGCAUUUUAAGACGUGUGCCAAGCAGCAGUGUGACAAGUCUUUACGCAUUUUUCUUAACCCCCAGCCCAAGGAAGGAGCGCAGACCGUCACCUCGGAUGGGCGCUCCUGCGCGGCUCGCCGGCUACGCCCUCACUGCUCUGGUUGUGUGUCGGUGCUCCCAUCCACACCCCAGGAAAUCAGAAAUGUGCCGUUGCUCUCUGCCUCCCCGCUCCCCUACACAGAGUCCUCUGUCUUCAGAUGUGUGGGCAGGGUUACGGUCGUGAGCGCUCCCGUGCCAAGUGCGGUAUUUCCCGUUGGUUAUGCUACGCUGUCCUCUAGUGGCAAAUCAACCUGCUGGGCCGCCGUGUCUCAGAAGAGGAAGAAGCGUAGUUCUCCCAGGAAACUGAGUGUCAACGCCAGACAGCGUCACUUUUUUUUCCUCAGUGGAGCAGUAGUCUGAGGGACUUUUAAUCUUCAGAGAACAACAAUUUGGUAAGAGUCCAUGAUUUUCAUGAGAGUCCAGACUGAUGAGAAGAUGACUUUGUACAAAGGAAGAAUCAGCAUCUGUUGCCCAAUUACACCAUUAACGCUCAGAAAAGUUUUCAUCUGUGAGCUCUUUUCCAGAAAGAGCCUCCACUGACUAGUAGAUGUGGCUCAGAGCGAUUCAGUUUAACCAUGGACACUGAUUGCUCUGUGGCCUUUAGGAAAGAUCACCAGGAAUUCAGUUGCCAUCACUUAGGGCAACUUAAAAUCUGCCUGUUAGUCUGUAGGCAAAGCUGAUUCAUGGAAGACUAAGCCCAGCAUCAAUAUUCUGAAUAUCCUGCUGAAAUGCAUGACUUCUACAUGUGUGCAAGAGCCGGGCUUGGAAUAUGCAAUGACUUUGUGUUUCAUCACCAAAUUGUUAUCUAACAAGACGUUGCUGUAAUGUUAUUCUGACAUACCACAGACUAGACCUUAAAAUGGAUGCCGAAUUUGUUGUCCGCUGAUGUCUGACUAUGUCGACAGUUUGGCUUUCUUUUGUGAAUGGGCAAAAAGCCUGGGAUUUGUCUGUAAGUGCUUUGAAGCAAAAGUGCUUUUGUCUCGCUGGUCUCUAAGACCACUGUUCGAGACUUGGCAGGUGGACAAAUCCUUAGCUUAGGUCAUUUGAGUGAGAGAACUGAACAAUUUAUUUAACUCUGCUCAAAGCUAAUUUGGGGAGGGGGCAGUGGCACAUGUCUGGUAGAGGGUCUACAGCUGGAUGUGUUACUAAGUAUUGCUGUAACUGCCUCAGUGAAGGGUUUGCUGUGGAGGAAGUAGGAAUAAUGCAAGUUCUGUGAUUUGUCAGAAAAUCCACGUUCUCCUGUGCCUGUGCUAAGUCUGUACUAAGUUGCUGUUUGCUUCAAGGGCUUGCUUUGUAUAUAAUACAGCUUUGCAGCAUCCUACAGGUUUUUAAGCCACGGAAGUGUUGCUUAGACUUUAACACGUGGUCCAGCACACAUGAGACCCUGUAUAGCUAAAAACAUUAGUUCAAGUAAACAUCCCUUCUCAGUCUUGUCAAGGCAUGACGCUUGCUGACAACUGACCUGGUGCCGCUAAUGAGGCUUGAGAUGAAGCUGUGCAUCUCAGAUGAAUGCUGUGGGCCUCCACCUGCGUAACUGAACUGUAGACGGUGUUCACCAACAGCUGUUAUUGUUUGAUCCCUCCUUAGAUGACGAGAUAUUGAAACCAAAUAGCCCUCACAUAGUCAGUAGGGAGAAUACACGCUCCUGAAUUAGCUGUUCUGAAUUGCCUGUUGGGCUCUGCUGAUUAUGGAUGCUCUCUGGGCACCUAAGUUAGAUCCCUAAGGUUAAACAGCAUCAACAGCUCUGCCUUACAACUAGUCCAAGAUGCAUCCUCUUUUUAAAUUUCUUUUUUAAAAAAGGAUUUCAAAAUGAAAAUACGUCUGCAGCAUAUCUAAUAAUACUCCAGAUUCCACCUAUCCUGCCUUCCUUAGAUCCCUCUUUUAAAAACAGAAGAAGAAAAGCAAUAUUUUGAUAAAAUAUUUAAAGAACUAGAACUUUGUCCAAAGGCUAAUAGUAAAGAGACUGCACUAGAUUUUCGGAACCUAAUAUUCUGAUUUCAGCUUUGGAUUUCUAUUGAUGUAGCUCCGUUGCUUCACUGGAGGCCCUCUGGCUUUACAGUGACAUCAGAUAUGAUCUAAAAUGAUAACAGAAAAUUAUUGUCUCUCAUUUUUCAGUCACACAAAGGUUACAGGCAGAAAAAAUUCAUGAAUAUAUUGGUUUAUAGCCUUUCUGAAAGUAGAUUUGAAUGGUGUUAGUGAUUGAAAUCAAGUUCAAUGGAGAGCUGGUAGUCAAGAAAUGUUUUAUUUCAUUUAAGCACAGAAUUAAUCUUGAUACAAAAAGUAUACCAAGAAAUUUUUUCUAAGCAACAACAAAAAUUACCUGGUGGACAUUGCUUUCUUUUCUCUCUUUUUCCUUAAAAAACUUUGCAAGGAAAUGCGUAGUUGAAUGAAAUAUUUUAGCAGAGGCCACAGUAUAAGACUUGAGUUUCCUUCCCUUUUUUUUUUUUUUUUAAUAUAUAUUGGAAAUAACUCUAUUGCAGCUUGAUAUGCUGUUUGGCUUGUGUGUAUUGGAGUUUCCACACCAUUUGUGAUAAGAAAAGAGCCAAACUCCUCAUAUUUUUAUAAGUAGCAUAUUCUGCUUAUUUCAGGCCAUCACAUCAUAUUAUCUGUUUUUUUCCCCACUGGCUGCAUAUAAUACUCUCUCCAGAAGCUGGGAAGUUUGUUCAUAGCCACCAUCUCAUCCUAUGUCGUUGUAAGUGAAGAUAGCAAUUGCCUGUCUUCAAUUCUUUAUUAAAUUGGAGGAAUUGACCCAUUCCUUACUCUCUCAUGAGAACUUUUCUUAUAUAUCUUCGAAGAUUGUAAGGGAGCAAACCCUUAAAAAAAAUAAAUAUUUAACAUGCAU
ensembl:lncRNA